UGGCCAGCAAGCUCCAGGGAUCCUCUUGGUCCAGCUUCUCCUUUGCUGGAGUUACACGUGCUUGCUGCUAUAACCAUCUUUACACAUGGGUGCUGGGGAUAAAUUCCGGCCCUGCCUCCGGAAACUUCGGCCACCUCCCAAUAAGAUCCAUCAUUCGUUGCAAUCUGCAUCCUGGCUGUGGAUGCUGUGCAAGCACCUGCCUCAAGCCCCUCCCACCUUGACUUCUCCACUGCGACGGACUGUGUGCCCUUGAACUGUGAGCCAAGAUGAAACCCUUUCUCCUUUAAGUUGCUUUUGUCAGAGUGUCAGAGUUGUACAAUAGCAAACUAAUCUGAAACAACUUUAUGGUAACGUUCCCAAGCUGCCCCAAUAAACGUGCUUUUGGGUGAUGUGA